rnacentral:rRNA from 1 species
AGCGUAGGCGGCGUGGUAAGUCAGAUGUGAAAUCCCGGGGCUCAACCCCGGAACUGCAUCCGAUACUGCCGUGCUAGAGGAUUGGAGAGGUAGCUGGAAUUCACGGUGUAGCAGUGAAAUGCGUAGAUAUCGUGAGGAACACUCGUGGCGAAAGCGAGCUACUGGACAACUCCUGACGCUGAGGCUCAAAGGCCAGGGUAGCGAAAG